rnacentral:rRNA from 1 species
GACUCUCGGUAACGGAUAUCUUGGUUCUCGCAUGGAUGAAGAACGUAGCGAAAUGCGAUACUUGGUGUGAAUUGCAUAAUCCCGUGAACCAUCGAGUCUUUGAACGCAAGUUGCGCCCGAGGCGAAUCCGGCCGAGGGCACGUUUGCCUGGGCGUCACGCAUCGCGUCGCUUC